GGCUCUGUGGGCGCCCCGGCGGCGGGCGGAGGGUGCUGGGCAGGAGCGGCGGUAGCGGAGCGCGGUAAAACGCGCUGAGGGCGUGAAGGCGGGCGCGGGUGCGCUGGCGUUGGGAGGGGGCGGCCCGGCGGGUUCGCUUGUGUUCGUGCAUCAGUCCCCCCGUCCCCCAGGGCUCGGGGGGCGGCGGUGGGCACCUCUCCGUGCGAGAGUGGGCUCUGCCUUGUGGGGAAAUAAGAUGCCCGGUAAGGCGUACUGACGGUGUCCACAGGCAAGGGGCUGGCACACGGCUGGCGUGCCGACAUGGAGGGAGAUGAAGAGGAAGACUACAUGUCUGAUUCGUUUAUUAAACAGGAUGUAAGGCCAGGCUUGCCCAUGGUAAGGCGGGUAAAGGAAGCUAUUCAGAAAGAAGAAAAGCAAAAGGAAGCCAAUGAGAAGAACAGGCAAAAGAGUAUAAAAGAAGAAGAAAAAGAGAGGCGAGACUUGGUGUUGAAAAGCGCGUUGGGCAACGAGAACAAAGGCUUUGCUUUGCUCCAGAAGAUGGGCUACAAGAGCGGCCAGGCCCUUGGCAAAAGCGGAGAAGGCAUUGUUGAACCUAUUCCUCUGAACAUAAAAACAGGCAGAAGUGGUCUUGGUCAUGAGGAAUUAAAAAAGCGAAAAGCUGAAGAAAAACUGGAAAACUAUAGACAAAAACUCCAUAUGAAAAAACAAGCAAAUGAACAAGCUGCAGAUCAGUUCAGAAUAAGAUUCAAAAACAAACAAGAAGAACGUAAGAUGGAAGGGGACCUGCGAAAAAGCCAGAGGGCCUGCCAGCAAUUAGAUAUGCAAAAAGACAUUGAAGUUCCCAAAGAGACUUGGUUUUGGAUGGAACCUGAAGAGGAAGACAAAAAGGAUGAGGAAGACAAGGAAGAUGAAUGCACAAGCUCAGACUUAAGUGUAUCAGAAAAGCUACACAUCCUGACAGCCUACUUGAGAAAAGAACACUUUUAUUGCAUUUGGUGUGGAACAACCUAUGAAGACUCUGAAGAUUUAUCUUCAAACUGUCCCGGAGACAGUGCUGCAGAUCAUGACUAAAACCUUUCUAAAGGAAGGAGUCCUAAAUAAAGUUACAUUGGCUCUACAGCAAUGAACAGUUCGACAAGAUACAGCUCAAAGGCAAGCAGUUGGAAGGACUAACAUGCCUGUCUUUUCGCCCUGCUCCCCACCACUGCACACACAAUACUUUGAGUUCAGGCAACUCUGAACUCUUUGAAGUAUAUAACUGAAGAGUAACAGAAAAACUGCUGUUAACUUUUGUGGGGCUGACAGUGGAAGCACCAGAGGUAAAAAUUGCAAGUGAUUCAUUGCAGAAGUAUCCAGUCCUGGUCUGCAGCCAAUGGACAUGAAUGGUGAUGUGGCCUUCGAGCUGACAGACUCGACAAUGGCAGGAAGGCAAAGCACCAAGGAAAAGACAUACCCCAAGUCUUGCUGUUGCUUCUUACAUCUAUUGUUAUGUUGUCAGUUUCAAUAAAUCCACGAAACUCUGGAUUUAAACAGAGUCUGAAACCCUUUUAAAAGGGCAUUUAACAAGUAUAAUUUUUAGGUGACUUCUCUUUAUCAACAGACUUAACAAGAUCAAGUAUUCGAGUUGCAGAGGGUCUCUUGAAAGGGUCUGUUGAAAGCAUCUUUUUGAUUAUGGAUGCCUGCAAAAAAAUUUAAAUGUCAAUAGAUUUUUAUUUUUUUUUUUAGUAAAUAAAGUAAUCAAAAUAAUGUAUUAAAAUCCCAUACCUUUGGUGGAAAUUGGUUGGUGAAACUCUCUGGAAAAUGACCUUCUCUAACAGAAGGCCAUACCUGAAAUUCAUAAAAGAGAACAGUUUUAGUAUGCUUUCUUUGAUUAUAUUUUACAUGUCUACCUUAUGACCCAUAUAGUUUACUGAAGUAAUUAGGAAACCACAAAUCUACAAGAAAGUAAGUAACUGUAAACAGUUUGAAAGUUUCUUCCAUUUAGUUGUACAUUGUUUUGGUUUUAUGGACUUUUCAUCAACUAUUGUUCCUUUCUAAGCUUAAAAGCUUUGCACUCUACAAUGAUGUGUUUGUUUCAGCAGUCCUCUCUAUUUCAGAAUCAUUAUCCUUCUUUCCUUAAUUUAAAAGUAGUGGAUUUAUAUCAUCUAACCACAUUGAAAGAAAAGAAAAAAGCAAGACAACUGAAUUUCCUACUUUGGAUGUUACUGUUUGCAAGCCAAGCAGGUGUGCUUCCAUGUUCAGUACUACACACUGAACUGAAGUAUGUCACUGCCAAAAAUGCUAUGUGGAGUUCAAAGCAGCUAACAUAUAGAGGAUUUCUAAUUAUAUGCUUUAGAAACUGGGUGUGGGUAACUUUUUUUUUUCCUGUACGACACUGUCUCUCACAACAUCCUCAGAGGCAAGCGCAGGAAUUGCAGGCUGGACGAGUGGAUGGUGAGGUGGAUU